GGACAAUGUGUUGGGACAGGGCUUGGAGAGCACUAAUCCCUCCUGCUCUUGGAGGAGUAAAGCCUAUUCUGGUUAGCAUUAGCCAGUUGACCAACAUGGCCCAGGCAGGGCUGCAUUUCAUUAUGUGUUUGGUCUAUUCUGAGUAUAUUUGCUCUUUUUUAAAGAGACAAAAAAUAAGUGUGAAUUUAAGUGUUUAACCUAUUCAAUUAGGUGCUCUGAUUACCACCAACAUUCAGUUGUGGAUUUUGUAGAGCCCAGAACAGAACGGCUAUAAGGUAAAACGUGUUUUGGUUAUGUCAUUUAGAUGUUCACAGGAGCUCCCAGGAUAUUCUUCCACAUUGAGUGGAGCGCAGGCAACUCCAAAUUGUUGGAGUCCAACAGCUAUAAAGCUUACUAGCAACGCAUUCCAGAGAGCAAGCACUCAUGCGUUGCAGUAUCGGAACGUGGCGACGAACAGUUACUCAGAGCUGCUGAGGAAGGCAUGCAUUGUUGAACUCACUUCUUUAAAUACUCUGGGGGAUGUCUGAUAUAGACCAGGAGUUUGACACUUUGCAUGCUGGUGCUCCGUUUUGUCAACCACGCGUGCCCCAAAACGGUGAACAAUACGUUUGUGUGCGUCGCGGUUGGUGCGUGAAUAUUACAGUAGGUCUCCCUUAUUUGACGAACGUGUCCAGAAAAGCCGUAUCGAUGUUGUCUCGAGAUUCAGCUGAGAUUCAGUCAAGUCUCCGACUCUGGUCGCGUCUAGACCCCUGGGGAGGGUCCAUGGAGGAGAACCUGAUGGAGAGGGUGCAUACUCUAGCAGUGGUUCUGCCUGGAGAAAACGGCCACGGUAAAUGGGAGUAAACCUGUGAUGGACAUACUGGUCACACUCUGUGCCCAGUACCACCUGAAUCCAUCUGACUUCACCAUAGAACUCCAGUCAGCCAAUAGAAACAAAAUCUCCUUCAAAACCAGCUCUCUGAUUGGAGCCAUGGAGGCUCAGAGGAUCCUACUGAAACCUAAAGGGGGAGAGGAGAAGAUAAGGAGGCUGUACGUGCCAGAGGUCACUGUACGUCUGCUAAUCACCUACAAGAAGAACCAUAAGGCCGUUGUGAGGGUCAACCCUAGAGUCCCUCUGGAGCAGCUCCUGCCUGCGGUGUGUGUGAGUUUGACCUGGAGUCCACCAUUUUACUGAGAGCCAACGGCUCUGAAGAACCUUUAAACCUGAGCAGGUCCCUCGAUGACUAUGGACUAAGGGAACUGUACGCCAAGGAAACAGCAGGGUCUCUCAGUGAGUGCCCCGGCCUCACGUGGUCUGAAAAACCAGCGGGUGGCCAGCAUCAGCAUGAACUCCCUGGGUGUCCACUCCUCCAACACCCUGCCCAUGGACGACACCAUGGCCAAGAAGAAAACGGGCACCCACGCUCCACAUGGCAGGCUCCCAAAGCGUCCCUGCCAACCUCAACGUCCAGCCGGGUCUCCAGAAGGUUCCACUGACUGGGUCUUCAGUGCUCCAACCGUGUCUAGUCCUAGUGAGCUUUACCAGACCGCACCAAAAUCACCAGUGGUAGUCAAGCAGGAGAGUUCAGAGAUGGAGGCCCAGGAGGAGUCCGAAUCACCCACAGACAGUCUAGAUUCAGAACUACAGAAAAGUCUAGAGGUACAAGUCCCGGAGGAGUCGGAUACACUCUCAGAGAUUCCCAACCCAUACACGGCUGACCUGGAGAUGAAAUGGAAUACCUGGAGAUGGAAUACGUGGAGAUGAGGUGACCUCAACUCCUGAACUACUAGAGAGCAGGGGAUUGUUCCGGAAGCCCAGUCUGGUGAUAGAGGAGUCAGCAGAGGACCGUUUCUUUUCCCCUCCUCCCCCUUCCCCUCCCCGUGUGUGCUAUGGUAAGGAGGAGACGGAGCCGACCCAGUUACGAGUGAGGCCUCCUGGGGGAAGAAAUCACCGCCCUCCCUCUUAUCCUCCCCCUUCUCUUCCUACGCUGAGUCGUACCUUCUGUGAACCAGCUGCGGGAGACAAUCAGACUAAUGCCCCUUCAUCACCCAAACCGAACAUGAUUAAUUUGACUUCACCCAAACCAUACGUGCCUGCAGCCCUGGCCAGGAGAACUGCCAUCCCCUCCUGCUUUGCCCAGGCUGUGGCUCUAGCCGUCCGUAAGUCCCAGUCCUCCUGUCCCCGAAGGCCAGCACCAGACUUGUUUUCCUCCCUCUCAGGCUCCUCACCCUCCACUGCCUUACCGCUAACCAAUGUGGGGCCAUAAUGGCUUCAUAGUAAAUCUGUGAAAUGGAAGUUCCUGUUUAGGGUGAGGCAACUGCAGUGAGGUAGAGCCGGCAACCACAUAGUCACAUGACCUCCAAAUGGACCCCACUUAUGGACCGACAAAUUCCAAAGAAGCCCAGGCCCCUGUUUUUCACUGGGAGUCAGCACAUUAUAAAAACAACAUUUAUCCAAGACUUCAUCCAAGAGUUUGAUUAGUGUACAGGUCAUUUUAUUUUCACUGAAUGUUUGUUUUUGUAUCUGUUAUUAAGAUAUUUGACUUGUAUGCGAAGAUGUAUUUAUUUGACCUUGGUAGUACAGUAUUUAUGGGAUCUACAUGUUUGUACUUGGAGUUUCCUGUUGACUCAUUAGUGUUGAAAUGUGCCAAAACCGAGAUUAAAUAAUACGUAAUCUCUCCUCAGUAUCUCUUUUUGUUUGUCAAGGACAGAGAACUCUGAAAUAAGAUGACUUAAAAUGUUACGUUUCAUUCUGUACAAAUCAAGAAUUAUUCUAUAUAUUUUCUUCCAGACAUGUAUCAUUUCUAUAAGUAAAUGAUACGCCAUUAUCAACAAGUGUGUUGCUUUCUUUUGCCACCGGAGGGCAGGAGCACACUUCACAAAUUUCUCAUGUACAGAACCACUGUGUGAGCUGUUUUGUGAUCCACACUUGAUCAAUUAUUAGCAUUGACAUAUCCAGAUAUUAAAGAAGAGCAUCAAUUAUCAUUCAUCUUCUUUGUCUUUACUGGUUAUACUAUAUAUUUUUAAUGGAUUAGUGUGUUUUAUUUCAAGCCUUGUUAUCUUGUCCGUUAUCGCGUUAUGGUUGCUAUUUCACAAUGAUAUUCUACAGGAUAUUCUACACGGUGCCAUGGUUAGAGCAUUGCAGGAAGAUAUGUAAUAUUAAAUCUACAUGAUGUGAAAUAAAUAACGUUCUUGCUAUGCAUUGUUGUUCAGAGUGCAACACAUUACUGAAUAAACUGAGAUGAUGUACAG
rnacentral:lncRNA from 1 species